UAUGCACGCUGGCGGCGUGCCUAAUACAUGCAAGUCGAGCGAACAGACGAGGAGCUUGCUCCUCUGACGUUAGCGGCGGACGGGUGAGUAACACGUGGAUAACCUACCUAUAAGACUGGGAUAACUUCGGGAAACCGGAGCUAAUACCGGAUAAUAUAUUGAACCGCAUGGUUCAAUAGUGAAAGACGGUUUUGCUGUCACUUAUAGAUGGAUCCGCGCCGCAUUAGCUAGUUGGUAAGGUAACGGCUUACCAAGGCAACGAUGCGUAGCCGACCUGAGAGGGUGAUCGGCCACACUGGAACUGAGACACGGUCCAGACUCCUACGGGAGGCAGCAGUAGGGAAUCUUCCGCAAUGGGCGAAAGCCUGACGGAGCAACGCCGCGUGAGUGAUGAAGGUCUUCGGAUCGUAAAACUCUGUUAUUAGGGAAGAACAAAUGUGUAAGUAACUAUGCACGUCUUGACGGUACCUAAUCAGAAAGCCACGGCUAACUACGUG
rnacentral:rRNA from 1 species